rnacentral:rRNA from 1 species
AGAGUUUGAUCCUGGCUCAGAUUGAACGCUGGCGGAAUGCUUUACACAUGCAAGUCGAACGGCAGCACGGGAGCUUGCUCCUGGUGGCGAGUGGCGAACGGGUGAGUAAUGCGUCGGAACGUACCGAGUAAUGGGGGAUAACGCACCGAAAGGUGUGCUAAUACCGCAUACGCCCCGAGGGGGAAAGCAGGGGAUCGCAAGACCUUGCGUUAUUCGAGCGGCCGACGUCUGAUUAGCUAGUUGGUGGGGUAAAGGCCUACCAAGGCGACGAUCAGUAGCGGGUCUGAGAGGAUGAUCCGCCACACUGGAACUGAGACACGGUCCAGACUCCUACGGGAGGCAGCAGUGGGGAAUUUUGGACAAUGGGGGCAACCCUGAUCCAGCCAUUCCGCGUGAGUGAAGAAGGCCUUCGGGUUGUAAAGCUCUUUCAGCUGGAACGAAACGGUACGCUCUAACAUAGCGUGCUAAUGACGGUACCAGCAGAAGAAGCACCGGCUAACUACGUGCCAGCAGCCGCGGUAAUACGUAGGGUGCGAGCGUUAAUCGGAAUUACUGGGCGUAAAGCGUGCGCAGGCGGAUUGUUAAGCAAGACGUGAAAUCCCCGGGCUUAACCUGGGAAUGGCGUUUUGAACUGGCAGUCUAGAGUGUGUCAGAGGGGGGUAGAAUUCCACGUGUAGCAGUGAAAUGCGUAGAGAUGUGGAGGAAUACCAAUGGCGAAGGCAGCCCCCUGGGAUAACACUGACGCUCAUGUACGAAAGCGUGGGUAGCAAACGGGAUUAGAUACCCUGGUAGUC